rnacentral:rRNA from 1 species
AACCUCCGCAAUGUGAGAAAUCGCGACGGGGGGAUCCCAAGUGCCAUUCUUAACGGGAUGGCUUUUCAUUAGUGUAAAGAGCUUUUGGAAUAAGAGCUGGGCAAGACCGGUGCCAGCCGCCGCGGUAACACCGGCAGCUCUAGUGGUAACAAUUUUUAUUGGGCCUAAAGCGUCCGUAGCCGGUUUAAUAAGUCUCUGGUGAAAUCCUGUAGCUUAACUGUGGGAAUUGCUGGAGAUACUAUUAGACUUGAGACCGGGAGAGGUUAGAGGUACUCCCAGGGUAGAGGUGAAAUUCUGUAAUCCUGGGAGGACCGCCUGUUGCGAAGGCGUCUAACUGGAACGGUUCUGACGGUGAGGGACGAAAGUUAGGGCGCGAACCGGAUUAGAUACCCGGGUAGUCCUAACUGUAAACGAUGCGGACUUGGUGUUGGGGUUGUUUUGAGCUGCUCCAGUGCCGAAGGGAAGCUGUUAAGUCCGCCGCCUCGGAGGUACGGUCGCAAGACUGAAACUUAAAAGAGUU